rnacentral:misc_RNA from 1 species
GGAACAUCCAUUGGGUUCGUUUCUUUUUUUUCUCUUUCAUCAUCUUCGUUUUUAUGCCUACUGUCGGAUUUCUUGUUUUUAUGUCUAGUUAGGAACUGGGGAUCGAGUAUAUGGCCCAAAGAUGUCUAUGGUAUGCAUAACUAUAACUCGAUGAGAAUUGUUGCAAUGUCAAAAAAAUAGAAAAGGGAAAUGAAGCUGAAAUUUUGGAUGGCUUACAUUGGUGAUCGAAUUUUUAGUUCUAUUUAUGUGAUAGAGUUCUCAUUUUUUUUUUCCAAUUAUAAUCUUGUUGUUGAUUGAAGAUUUCUUUUCUGGGCUCCCGUAUUUCUUGUUCAAUACAACAUGAAGUCAUGAAUAGAAUAAAAUCACAAAUUGGAGCUGAUAUAAUGAUGGUUCUUUUAUAAUAUAAAAAACAGAAUAUUUGCCUUGUUUUUCUGAACAAGUGUCUGCAACUGUUUUUUUCAAUUUGUGUUUAACUCCAUGUAUGAGUUAUCACUUAUAACUUUUCUGAGACGUCCUCCAAAUGUUCAAGACAACUAUCACGAUUAUUUUAUUCAUUUUCUACUUCUUGUCUAAUUUCAUGUUUUCCUAUUCAGAGAGGAGGCAAGCAGA